rnacentral:rRNA from 1 species
AACGAACGCUGGCGGCGUGGAUAAGACAUGCAAGUCGAACGGGACAACAUCUGUAGCAAUACAGGUGUUGUUUAGUGGCGAACGGGUGCGUAACACGUGGGCAAUCUGCCGAGAAGUGGGGGAUAGCUCGCCGAAAGGCGAAUUAAUACCGCAUAUGAUCAGUGAAGACAUCGUCACGACAUCAAAGCCGGGGCAACCUGGCGCUUCUUGAUGAGCCCGCGGCCUAUCAGCUAGUUGGUGAGGUAACGGCUCACCAAGGCUAUGACGGGUAGCUGGUCUGAGAGGACGACCAGUCACACUGGAACUGAGACACGGUCCAGACACCUACGGGUGGCAGCAGUCGAGUAAUUUUUCUCAAGUGGGGCAACCCUGAAGGAGCGACGCCGCGUGGAGGA